UCUCUCUCUCUCACUCUGUCUCUCUCACUUUCUCUCAUUUGUCAUUUGGUACAGAAAGUCUAAAGUCAGGAUGGAGAAUAGAAUGUAGCCUUUCCUCAGUAAACGGCAAGAGCUACAUUGUUGAGAGAAGGAGGAUAGUGAGUGAGCUUCCAUGCCUUAUAAGCACAUAAUCAUAGUAGCAGCAAAAUUAGGCCUGGGACAAGUUCAUGCUCAAAGAGAGCAUCCUUUCAAGGCUGGGCCUGACUUCCUGGAUCUUGUCAUCUAAGCCUGUGGCCAUAGGUGCUCGGUGUGCACCUCGAAGAGACACACGGCUAGGAAUAAACAGCAAAUCGCUCUAUUACGAGUGUCAGAAUAGAGGGUAGGCGAUUGCCCAGAUUACCUGAACAACAAGACUUCAAAACGAAACAAAACUAAACAAAACAAAACGGAACCAAUCGAAACGAAACGAAACGAAACACAAGGUGCACAACAGAUGAUGAUCGGUCUCCCGCUAAAUACAAAGUGUCACCAGUCAAGCACAGAAAAAACACUUGCUAACCUAGGCUCCAUUGCCUUAAACUUUGUUCAUCAGUUAAGACAAGAGUUAAGUCCAUCUAGUGGAGAGAAAGAAGGAUGGGAAAAGUUUCUUAGGCGUGAAUGUCAAAACAAAAUUAUGUCAUCAAGGCUCCUGGUGUAGUUUCCUUUUGUGGGAUGAUUUUAAUCUGGUUUUGGAAGAAUAUGUUUCUGGGGUGAUGGCUUUUAGAGAAUAUGUGACCUGUGGCUACCAGGGUUCAGCAACCCUCGCUCGGUCAAAGGGAGUGCUUCCCCUUCCCCAAUAAGUGAAACUUUAUUCCCUUAGAGAAAAGUGGCUUGGCCAUUCUACCAACUACCUGUAGCUGAUGUGACAAUGGUUCAAGGCAAGGCAGCCA
rnacentral:lncRNA from 1 species